rnacentral:rRNA from 2 species
CAGGAUGAACGCUGGCGGCGUGCCUAAUACAUGCAAGUCGAACGAGUUCUCGUUGAUGAUCGGUGCUUGCACCGAGAUUCAACAUGGAACGAGUGGCGGACGGGUGAGUAACACGUGGGUAACCUGCCCUUAAGUGGGGGAUAACAUUUGGAAACAGAUGCUAAUACCGCAUAGAUCCAAGAACCGCAUGGUUCUUGGCUGAAAGAUGGCGUAAGCUAUCGCUUUUGGAUGGACCCGCGGCGUAUUAGCUAGUUGGUGAGGUAAUGGCUCACCAAGGCGAUGAUACGUAGCCGAACUGAGAGGUUGAUCGGCCACAUUGGGACUGAGACACGGCCCAAACUCCUACGGGAGGCAGCAGUAGGGAAUCUUCCACAAUGGACGCAAGUCUGAUGGAGCAACGCCGCGUGAGUGAAGAAGGCUUUCGGGUCGUAAAACUCUGUUGUUGGAGAAGAAUGGUCGGCAGAGUAACUGUUGUCGGCGUGACGGUAUCCAACCAGAAAGCCACGGCUAACUACGUGCCAGCAGCCGCGGUAAUACGUAGGUGGCAAGCGUUAUCCGGAUUUAUUGGGCGUAAAGCGAGCGCAGGCGGUUUUUUAAGUCUGAUGUGAAAGCCCUCGGCUUAACCGAGGAAGCGCAUCGGAAACUGGGAAACUUGAGUGCAGAAGAGGACAGUGGAACUCCAUGUGUAGCGGUGAAAUGCGUAGAUAUAUGGAAGAACACCAGUGGCGAAGGCGGCUGUCUGGUCUGUAACUGACGCUGAGGCUCGAAAGCAUGGGUAGCGAACAGGAUUAGAUACCCUGGUAGUCCAUGCCGUAAACGAUGAAUGCUAGGUGUUGGAGGGUUUCCGCCCUUCAGUGCCGCAGCUAACGCAUUAAGCAUUCCGCCUGGGGAGUACGACCGCAAGGUUGAAACUCAAAGGAAUUGACGGGGGCCCGCACAAGCGGUGGAGCAUGUGGUUUAAUUCGAAGCAACGCGAAGAACCUUACCAGGUCUUGACAUCUUUUGAUCACCUGAGAGAUCAGGUUUCCCCUUCGGGGGCAAAAUGACAGGUGGUGCAUGGUUGUCGUCAGCUCGUGUCGUGAGAUGUUGGGUUAAGUCCCGCAACGAGCGCAACCCUUAUGACUAGUUGCCAGCAUUUAGUUGGGCACUCUAGUAAGACUGCCGGUGACAAACCGGAGGAAGGUGGGGAUGACGUCAAAUCAUCAUGCCCCUUAUGACCUGGGCUACACACGUGCUACAAUGGAUGGUACAACGAGUUGCGAGACCGCGAGGUCAAGCUAAUCUCUUAAAGCCAUUCUCAGUUCGGACUGUAGGCUGCAACUCGCCUACACGAAGUCGGAAUCGCUAGUAAUCGCGGAUCAGCACGCCGCGGUGAAUACGUUCCCGGGCCUUGUACACACCGCCCGUCACACCAUGAGAGUUUGUAACACCCGAAGCCGGUGGCGUAACCCUUUUAGGGAGCGAGCCGUCUAAGGUGGGACAAAUGAUUAGGGUGAAGUCGUAACAGGGAAAACCCGAAAAA